GGUCACGCCUAUUUCCCCCCGGCAGCCGGGGGGCGCUAACGUCAAAUUUGUCUAUUUCCCCCCGGCAGCCGGGGGGCGCUAACAUCAAAAUAUGCUAUUGACCACCGGCCGGCUAAUAUGGCAAAUCAUGCACUCAGAAAUGCACCGAUGAAUACAAAUUACAAAAAAAACGUGCAUAAUUUUAGGCUCGCUGAAUUGAGAAGCGGCUUCCGUUUGAGAAUACCUGGUAGAAUAAAAAUAGAUAUAAAUUAGGUACCAUCAUCAUCCUGUGUUCCACAAACCUUAGGAUUGUUCCUAGGAUGCCACUCGUUUUACUUAUUUACUGGCAUUGGCAGAUCACACGGAAUAGGUCCACUACUACGAAAUCAUUUGCUUUCCGACAAUUGGGUGCUUGCAAACGACUACGGUAUCCAUCAACGGAAGGCGGAUUUCUAGGUAGGGGGAAUCGCCGGUGCUGCUUGUUUGUAGUAACCCCACAUCCCUCAGGAGAAUUACGGGAAGGAUUCAUGAUUCAUCGGUAGGGCAGAGGAAGAUGUAACAAAUGACCUUCGUGCACCCAAAAUGAUUAUUUUUAAGUAAACACUUGAUGCUUGUUGAAAAAGCUAAAACAAUCGAUAAAGAUUUCUUUUGUUGGGUUUCUAUUUUUCAGGUUUACUCAGCAUGUGAUAAAAGAAACAAACGCUUGUCACGUAUCAAUGGGUGGAACCACGCACUUGCCGGGAUGAUUUGCCUUCGUUUGCCAAAUUGCCAUCGGGUGCAGAACACAGAAAAUGUCCGCCAUGCAAUCCAGGGAUGCAGAUGUAUUAUACAACUGGUACCUGCCCUUUCUGUCCCUCCGGAAGCAUUUCGGACGGAGUACGGCCCUGUCGAUCAUGUCCACCAUAUACAGCACCCAAUACAGGAUUCCAAUUUAUCUGGUGGAGUGCUCUUCCUGGAGUUAUGUCUUCACGCUGCAUGAGUCUAGAAGGUUAAUUCUUUUUUUUUCGGAUUCGCAACAAGGAUUUUUCUGUAUUGCUUUCUUUACCUACGUUGCCUUUUGUUUCCAAAUCCCUUAAGCAGUUCAUUUCUAAAAAAUGUAAUAAAAUAUAUGAAACUGAA